rnacentral:rRNA from 1 species
GAUUCCCCUAGUAACUGCGAGUGAAGCGGGAAAAGCUCAAAUUUAAAAUCUGGCGGUCUUUGGCCGUCCGAGUUGUAAUCUAGAGAAGUGUUACCCGCGUCGGACCGUGUAUAAGUCUCCUGGAAUGGAGCGUCAUAGAGGGUGAGAAUCCCGUCUUUGACACGGACUACCGAGGCUUUUGUGGUGCGCUCUCAAAGAGUCGAGUUGUUUGGGAAUGCAGCUCAAAAUGGGUGGUAAAUUCCAUCUAAAGCUAAAUAUUGGCGAGAGACCGAUAGCGAACAAGUACCGUGAGGNAAAGAUGAAAAGAACUUUGGAAAGAGAGUUAAACAGUACGUGAAAUUGCUGAAAGGGAAACGCUUGAAGUCAGUCGCGUUGGCCGGAAAUCAACCUUGCUUCUGCUGGGUGUACUUUCUGGUUGACGGGCCAGCAUCAGUUUUGACCGAUGGAAAAAGUCCAAGGGAAUGUGGCAUCUCAGGAUGUGUUAUAGCCCUUGGUCGUAUACAUCGGUUGGGACUGAGGAAUUCAGCACGCCGAAAGGCCGGGUCUUUGACAACGUUCGUGCUUAGGAUGCUGGCAUAAUGGCUUUAAUCGACCCGUCUUGAAACACGGACCAAGGAGUCUAACAUGCCUGCGAGUGUUUGGGUGGAAAACCCGAGCGCGUAAUGAAAGUGAAAGUUGGGAUCCUUGUCAUGGGGAGCACCGACGCCCGGACCUGAAGUUUACGGACGGCUCCGCGGUAAAGCAUGUAUGUUGGGACCCGAAAGAUGGUGNNCUAUGCCUGAAUAGGGUGAAGCCAGAGGAAACUCUGGUGGAGGCCCGUAGC